rnacentral:rRNA from 1 species
AUUGAACGCUGGCGGCAGGCCUAACACAUGCAAGUCGAACGAGCGGCGGGCAGGGGAGAACUGUCUAGGAAACCGCCCGAAGCAGCGGGAGAACAACUGGAAACGGUAUCUAAUCUCGCACACCAUCAGAUGUGCGCUGAUGGGAUUGGCUCGUGGGUGGGGUAACGGCUCACCUAGCCGACGAUCCCUACCUGGUCUGAGAGGAUGACCAGCCACACUGGGACUGAGACACGGUCCAGACUCCUACGGGAGGCAGCAGUGGGGAAUAUUGAGCAAUGGGCGCAAGGCUGAUGCAGCCAUGACGCGUGUGUGAAGAAGGCCUUCGGGUUGUAAAGCACUUUUGGCGGGGAGGCGGUAUCUGCAGAAGAAGCAACGGCUAACUCCGUGCCAGCAGCCGCGGUAAUUC